CAUCGUAGCAGAGAGGCAGGACCAACUGGGAGAGGGUCCUUCUGUGACACCUACUGCAUCACUGGGCUGUGUGAAGUGACUCAGCUGCCAGAACUCACACAACAUCAUUCUACACCAAAACCUCAUGGGAAAAAUG
rnacentral:lncRNA from 1 species